CAAAAUGGAAUAGAAAGAUUAUAUCACAGACGAAAUUAUACUUUACACUUUAUUAUACUUUAUACUUUAUUAUACUGUAUACUUUAUUAUACUUUAUACUUUAUUAUUACAUUACAUCAAUUGACAUCUUUGGAAUUACAACGAUUCGAUACACAUUUUAACGUUUUAAACGUUUUAACGUUUAACAUUCUAACAUUCAGUUAGAACUUUGUAUUGAUUAGAGAUAUUGUAACGACCAGAAAUAUCGAUACAUAUAUCAAUACUUUUACCUCGAAAUUCGUAGAUUCGUACUCUUCAUUGUCCAUACAAAUUGUGUCAUAUAUGUCCAAACCAAAUUUAUUUUACGUGCAUUAACGUUUUCAAAUCCAUUUUUUAUUUUCAAAGAACAUCAUAUUUGUACUCGGUAUUGCCAGUAAGUAUCAUGAAGAGACGAAACGAGUAUCUCGAGUUAAGUAUUGUUUAAAAUAGUAUAUAGACAUCUAGAUAUAACAUUCAAUGAUUUUUCCCUCACUUAUUGUAAAUUAUUGAUAUUGUAAAAUUAUAAUUGUAAAAUUAUAUAGUAAAUGAUAUUGUAAAAUUAUAUAGUAAAUGAUAUUGUAAAAUUAAAUAGUAAAUUCACACGAUGUUCAAAUAAUUCGAAAUAACGAUAGACCAAAAGCUGUUUAAACGAGACACAAGAAUUAAUCGUGCAUUUUAUUAAAAAGUUAAGUACGAAUAAAAGAAAGAAAAAUUUCGAACUUUUUUCGAAAGAACAUACAUUUAUUAUACAACAUACAUACAUUUAUUAUAUAUUGUGUUCUUUCAAACACAAUAAUACCUUCCAUAAAGGAGCACAGCCCAGAUGAGACUUUUUAUAGUUAAACUUUUAACGUACUCAUAGAAACGAAAUUUUUUUUUUUUAAAUAGAACUGUUACAUUUUACGACACGUAUAACAUCGAACAUUUACCAACAUAGCGAUGCCAGCGUACAUAUAUAUAUACUGGUGUACUGGUCAUCUUUUUUCCACACGUUUUUAGCUUUUUAGCUGUUUGUGAAUGGGCGCCUAAUCAGCCAAUCAGAAAUGGCCGGUAUUCUAUGAAUCCUUUUUUUCAAUGCUCGAAGAGCUGGAUAUUUAUCCAAAGCUGGUGCCCCAAACAUAUACUCGUAAUUUUCAAGGGCCGCUGCAAAUACGAAGUCCGCCCAUGUCGUCUGAAAAAAGGAUUCUCCUCCAUGCGAUAGUAGCAGAUAUCUGAAACGUAUAUGAAACCAACCGUUACGUUCAUUUGUGUUUUUCCCCCCAAACGAAGAGAAAAUAAGGUGUGAAAGAAGGAGUAGCCUCUCAUAGUUCCUACAAUUUCUUCAUUCUCUUUGCUUUCUUCAAUAUUGCCUCAACAAGUUCCUGUGGUUCACGAUAUUUGAAAUAUAUACAAUGUUACCAGCGUGGAAAUUGUCUUGGAAACUUGGAAAAUCUUUCAAGAGGAACAACAUUGCUAACUGAGAUUCGAGAAAGGAAAUUACCAAGAAUGUCGAGAUAUAAACAACCAUUUGUGGAAAGGUCAGGAGAAGCAGAAUUAUCGAAUAAACGUUAUAUAACUCUUAGUGAUUAAGUAAGAGAAGAGAAACGAGAAAAAAGUCUUUUAUCUAGGUCUUAAUAAAGUAUACUAUAUUUAUCUCCAUAUCAAGAAUAACAACAAGAUAUAAACAGUCUUCUAGAAAUUGAGUAAAUAUUACAUAAUUACAUCUUGAGCAAUAUUUUGCGUCUUAGCUUUUGCUUAAUCAUUAUGAUAAUCUUAAAUAUCUGUAAAUUCUUCACAGACUCUUUGCAUCUUCUAUACAGGUAUCUCAUGAUCAUGUGAUAACACACAGGAAGAAAAAAUAGAGGAAAAAACAGCGUAAAAAAAAGUUGCGUAGGAGUAUCGUCGCACUACAUCAUUCGACAAUUGAUGCACGUCAUGGCGAUCGUCACGGUUUAAAGCAGGCCAUCAAAAACACGUUUGUUAUCGUACGGAAAAAUCUGCGACGUUCCAGCUGUUCAGGUGCAUCGAAUUGUGAAUCAUCGGCGGUACGAAGCAAGGCGAGGGGCGUAAAUAGAGAAAGAAGAGAAGAGAAGGAUUCGCAUAAAUGAUAAAAUAUAAUCGUUCGUUCCUCGUCGAUGGCGGAUGGAUGGCUUUAAUCGUGGACGAUAUCGAUACGAUUAUAUUUUAUACAUUUGAAACAAAUAUAAAAGACGAGCAAAAACCAGA